CUGAUCCCUUCUUCCCCUGCUUCGAGGUGAUCCGCCACUCCACCCACCUCCCCAUCGCCCCCUCUCCGCCCCCUUCGUGCUCUCCCUGCCACCCUCUCUCCAUCAAUCUCCACCCCCUUCCCAUAGAUCUCCAAAAAAUAGAAAGAAUGGAAAAGAAAAAUAAGCAAAAAAAGAUAAAAAAAGAGAACGGAAGUAGUCAAAGGAGAAGUCAAAGGAUGCGGUACCACCGGGGGGAGGAAGGGAUUCAAGGUCCAAGGCGGUGAUAGACUGGAGAGGUGGCAGCUGAAGUCGGGGGUGAUUAGGAUGAGAUAAGACCUUGAUUGAUCAUUUUUUCCCUUUUCAUUUCAUUCUUUUUUUUGGAGAUCUGUGCGGAAGAAGAGAACCUAAAGAGAUCAGAAAGAGUCUACUAGCACCAUAUAUUUCUUCUAGCAUUUUUUGGGAAGUAAUGAAGCUAUGGCUCGAGGGGUCCAAGCAUGUCAGAUUAUAGAGUUAUUUUUCAGCAUACCAUGGGUGCCACCAAAUUCUUCAUCGAUGCCGCCUUAUCCCCUCGACUUCCCCUCACCGACUUUAACACCUCCACCUUCGCCUCCACCAACCCCUUCUUCCCCCACUUUGAGGUGAUCCGCCACUCCACCCACCACCCAACCACCCCCUCUUCGACCCCUUCGUGCUCUCCCUACCGCCUGCUCUCCACCAAUCUCCACCCCAUUCCCAUAGAUCUUCAAAAAAUAAAAAGAAAUGAAAAGAAAAAGAAGCAAAAAAAGACAAAAAAAAGGGGGGAGCGGAAGUAGUCGGAGGAGAAGUCGAAGGAUGAGGCACCAUUGGGGAGGAGAAAGGGAUCAAGGUCCAAGGCAGCGACAGACUGGAGAAGCGUUGGCUAAAGUUGGGGGUGAUCAAGAUGAGAUAAGACCUUGAUUAAUCAUUUUUUUUCCUUUUUAUUUCAUUCUUUUUUUCAAAGAUCCGUGAAGAAGGAGAGAACCUAAGGAGAUCAAAAUGAGUCUACUAGCACCAUAUAUUUCUUCUAGCAUUUUUUGGAAAGUAAUGAAGCUAUGGCUUGAGGGGUCCAAGCACAUCAGAUUAUAGAGUUAUUUUUCAGCAUACCAAGGGUGCCACUAAAUUCUUUACCGAUGCCACCUUGCCCCCUCAGCUGCCCCUCACCGACUUUAACACCUCCGCCUUCACCUCCACCGAUCUCUUCUUCCCCCGCUUUGAGGCGAUCUACCACUCCACCCACCUCCCUGCCAUCCCCUCUCUGCCUAUCUCCAACCCCUUCCCACAGAUCUCCAAAAAAUAGAAAGAAAUGAAAAGAAAAAGAAGCAAAAAAAGACAAAAAAAAGGGGAGAGCGAAAGUAGUCAGAGGAGAAGUCGAAGGAUGCGGCACCAUCGAGGGGAGGAAGGGAUUCAGGCAGCGACGACUAGAGAGAGAUCUAUGCGGAAGGAGAGAACCUAAGGAGAUCGGAAUGAGAUUCAGAAGAUUCUAUUGGGCUUGGGAUCGAGCUGUGAGGAGCAUAGAACGGCAUACUGAGAAAAAAACAGGCCUUGCAUAUUUUUUAGGACUUGCUGUAAAAAGUGUGCGGCAUCACGUGCCUGAUCUGGAUACUGGAUUCGGAUCAUGACACACCAUAUAUUUCUUCGGGCAUUUUUUGGGAAUUAAUGAAGCUAUGGCUCAAGGGGUCCAAGGUUAUCAUUCUGGACAUCCCAUUGUUGUUUGAGGCUAAGAUGGACAGAUGGACUGCUCCUAUUAUUGUUGUAUGGGUUGAUCCUGAAACUCAAGUACAACAUCUAAUGGCAAGAGAUGGCAUGCCUAAAGAACAAGCUAGAAACAAGAUUAAUGCUCAGACUGCACUGGACUGGAAGAAGACAAAGGCAGAGAUAGUCAUCAAUAACUCAGGCACAAUUGAAAAAACAAAACUACAGUUUUAGGAGGUCUUGAACCAGGUUACCAGGCCUUUAACAUGGAACGAACUCGCACUCUCUAGGGACGGUGUUUUUUGGAUUCUUAUAUAUGCACUUAUAGGUGUUUUAGUGGUACAGAAAAAUUUAAAGUGAUGAUGAGCAUUACCUAUCAGCGGACUUCUCUUAUCAAUUACACUUGCUCAAAAUAAGAGAGAAAUAUUUGUGCAAUUUAUAUUUAAUUUAUUGAACUAGCUUGGUAUAAGCUUUGC